rnacentral:rRNA from 1 species
UUGAACGCUGGCGGCAUGCCUUACACAUGCAAGUCGAACGGUAACGCGGGGCGACCUGGCGACGAGUGGCGAACGGGUGAGUAACGCAUCGGAACGUGCCCAACAGUGGGGGAUAGCCCGGCGAAAGCCGGAUUAAUACCGCAUACGACCUGAGGGUGAAAGCGGGGGACCGUAAGGCCUCGCGCUGUUGGAGCGGCCGAUGUCAGAUUAGGUUGUUGGUGGGGUAAAAGCCUACCAAGCCGACGAUCUGUAGCUGGGCUGAGAGGACGACCAGCCACACUGGGACUGAGACACGGCCCAGACUCCUACGGGAGGCAGCAGUGGGGAAUUUUGGACAAUGGGCGCAAGCCUGAUCCAGCCAUGCCGCGUGCGGGAUGAAGGCCUUCGGGUUGUAAACCGCUUUUGUCAGGGAAGAAACGCUCCGGGCCAAUACCCUGGGGUAAUGACGGUACCUGAAGAAUAAGCACCGGCUAACUACGU